CACUGGCAUCAGCACCCGCUCAGGACUCCUGGCCACAGCCCAUGUCAGGAACUCUGGCUGCCACUCCCGUGCAGACCCCCAUCUACCAACGUGGGGCUCCCCUGGUCACCUCCAUCUUGGGGCACUAUAACCAUUGCCACAGUCCACUACACGUGGUAUCCUGCACCUGGGGUCACUGCACUGGGUCUGGUGACAGCUGCCAGCCACAAUACUGCACGCCACAGAGCUGUAUCUCCCAACAGGCUGCUCAAUGACACUGCCCAGCCCCACCAGGUCGACACCCCAUCAUUGAAAGCAGCAGCCUCCAUCUGGGCACACCUUCGUCACCAUCUUUAGCUGGGGCACUCCCAGCUUGGAACAUGGGCCGGGGCUUAGAAACAAUAUCAAGGUACCAGAGCUCCCCAAUUCCCCCCUCUACCCGGCACAGUGCCUGAGACUACACAGCCAGUCCACAGCUUGCCAAACUGGGUGGCAAAACCGGGUCCUGAACUGCCCAAUACAACACAGCUCUCUAGACAGGUGUGCAGCCCCAGAGCGCAGCCCACAAGACCUCUGGAGAGAGGUUUCUGAUUGGGAAGUAGAAAGGAAGUGGGUGAGGGAGAUAGAGCUUAGAUACUAAGUUAGAGACCAAGAAUUGCAAGGUCUACCGGCGAUAUAAGGAGAUAAGACCAGGCACCCACAUCACACCAGUGGGCUCCAAAGGAGGCCCUUGGGUGCAGUCUCCCAUCAGGAACCGGCAAGUGCUCUACCAAACUUCCAGGAGCUCUGCCCCCAAGAGCAACCCUCCUGCCCUAAUAACCUCCAGCAUCCUGAGGGUGGAGAUACCAGCAAACACAGAAACCCCACCUAUCACCUGAGAAGAGAGGCAGGAAAGACACUGACCUCCAACCAAAACUAUCCUUGUAUCUUCCUUCGAGAUUUUUUUUCCUUUUUUCCUUCUCCCUCACAUCCCCGACAUUUGUGAAACCAAGUGCUUUUCAUGAAGUAGGCU
rnacentral:lncRNA from 1 species